rnacentral:ncRNA from 1 species
UCAACAGCUUUGAUAAGCAGGAGUAGGCGAUAAGCUUCGUUCAGAGAGAAAACGGUCGGUGCAAGUUUUCCGAAGUCUUGCCGAAGGUCGGCUUUGAGCUGCCGUGGUGAAUUUUGAGUAAGCACGGUCGGGAGCUCCCGUUACAGAGCCCAUGAGAGCCGCUUUUUGCGGAAUUCAGGUGGUACCACGCAUAUAAUUGCGCCCUGAUC